GACUUCUGGUUUAAUGCACCUGGCCCGCGGCCCACAAGGCCUGUGAGUGCCGGCGCGCGUUUACCAUCCUUCCAGCAACGGCUACCCUUAACUGGGCGGCUGGAACUGGAUCUUUUACUUUGAAAAAAUUAGAGUGUUUAAAGCAGGCGUUUGCUCUGAAUACAUUAGCAUGGAAUAAUAAUCUAGGACUUCGGUUCUAUUUUGUUGGUUUCUAUAACUGAAGUAAUGAUUGAUAGGAAGAGUUGGGGGUGCUAGUAUUGGCCGGUCAGAGGUGAAAUUCUUGGAUUCGGUCAAGACUAACUUAUGCGAAAGCAUU
rnacentral:rRNA from 1 species